rnacentral:rRNA from 1 species
UGGGGAAUCUUGGACAAUGGGGGCAACCCUGAUCCAGCCAUGCCGCGUGGGUGAAGAAGGCCUUAGGGUUGUAAAGCCCUUUCAGUCGUGACGAUGAUGACGGUAGCGACAGAAUAAGCACCGGCUAACUCCGUGCCAGCAGCCGCGGUAAUACGGAGGGUGCAAGCGUUAUCCGGAUUUACUGGGUUUAAAGGGUGCGUAGGCGGCUUUUUAAGUCAGUGGUGAAAGCCUAGACACUUAAUGUCAGAAGUGCCAUUGAUACUGAAGAGCUUGAGUCAAGGAGAGGUAAGCAGAAUUUGUGGUGUAGCAGUGAAAUGCUUAGAUACCAUGAGGAAUACCAACAGCGAAGGCAGCUUACUGGCCUUGUACUGACGCUGAGGCACGAAAGCGUGGGGAGCAAACAGGAUUAGAUACCCCUGUAGUCC